AUUGAACGCUGGCGGCAGGCCUAACACAUGCAAGUCGAACGAGUGGCGGACGGGUGAGUAAUGUCUGGGAAACUGCCCGAUGGAGGGGGAUAACUAGUGGAAACGGUCGCUAAUACCGCAUCCCAUCGGAUGUGCCCAUAUGGGAUUAGCUAGUAGGUGGGGUAACGGCUCACCUAGGCGACGAUCCCUAGCUGGUCUGAGAGGAUGACCAGCCACACUGGAACUGAGACACGGUCCAGACUCCUACGGGAGGCAGCAGUGGGGAAUAUUGCACAAUGGGCGCAAGCCUGAUGCAGCCAUGCCGCGUGUAUGAAGAAGGCCUUAGGGUUGUAAAGUACUUUCAGCGGGGAGGCGUUACCCGCAGAAGAAGCACCGGCUAACUCCGUGCCAGCAGCCGCGGUAAUUC
rnacentral:rRNA from 1 species